rnacentral:tRNA from 1 species
AAUGAAGUGCCUGAAUAAAGGAAUAUCUUGAUAGGGUAAAUAAUGUGGUUCCACCUUCAUUA